CCUACGGGAGGCUGCAGUGAGGAAUAUUGGUCAAUGGACGAGAGUCUGAACCAGCCAAGUAGCGUGAAGGAUGACUGCCCUAUGGGUUGUAAACUUCUUUUAUAUGGGAAUAAAAUGUUCCACGUGUGGGAUUUUGUAUGUACCAUAUGAAUAAGGAUCGGCUAACUCCGUGCCAGCCGCCGCGGUAAUACGGAGGAUCCGAGCGUUAUCCGGAUUUAUUGGGUUUAAAGGGAGCGUAGGUGGAUUGUUAAGUUAGUUGUGAAAGUUUGCGGCUCAAACGUAAAAUUGCAGUUGAAACUGGCAGUAUGGAGUACAGUAGAAGUGGGCGGAAUGCGUGGUGUAGCGGUGAAAUGCUUAGAUAUCACGAAGAACUCCGAUUGCGAAGGCAGUUCACUGGACUGCAACUGACACUGAGGCUCGAAAGUGUGGGUAUCAAACAGGAUUAGAUACCCUAGUAGUC
rnacentral:rRNA from 1 species